rnacentral:lncRNA from 7 species
AAAAAUGGCUGCUUGCUGCUGUAGCUCCUGACUUGUGUGGUUUUUAAUGAAGAUGUUCUUAAUGAGGAACAAAAUUUUCCUUCUGUAGGGAUUUCCUUGGUUUUGGGAGGAGAAGGACAGCAGAUGUCAGAAGACGCAGCCAACCCUGCCCAUGUUAUUCUAACAGAUCACAGAGAAAGAAUUUGUCCGUUCCACACUUCAAAUAAAAACAAGCAUAAGUGAAAUGGGUUUGAAAGGACUUUUAAGAAAGCAACUCUAGCCCUCAGCUCCAGUGUGUGUUCUGCUCCUAUGGCUGGCUUGACAGAGAAGUUCAGCAGAAUGAGCACUAUCAAACCAGUGCUUAUGUUUGAUGCCCUCAAUCUAAAUAAAGUGGACAUUGAAGAAUGUGAAUCUUUCUUCCAUCCAUGUGCAUAUAGCCACAUUUCUUUUGUCUGGAGUUGUUCUAGGCUUCCCCUGAAGAAGAAAUACAAACACUUGGAAUGUGUGAUUUGCAUCCUUACCAAAUUCAUCGCCUUUCUUAAAAUAUAGAGCUGAAUUUAGUGUUCAGUUUAAAACUGCUAUUUCCGUAAUUGUUUAAAGGCCAACUGGCAAGGCACUAAACAAAAGCUAUCAUGUUCGUAAAGCAAAAAUCAUUUGCUGUAACAGCUUCUUGCUAUUUUGUGAUGCAGGGGGAUGGGAAGGCUUUGAAACCUACUCUAUGAAUCAUUCCCAACGUCUUAUGUUACAUGAAUAUUAUUUUUAAGUGUAUAACUAUGCUAUUAGAGCCUUCUGUGAUUUAGAGAGAGCUUUCAGAAUACUAAAAAGUCAUUAUUUACUUUCUUACAGUCUAUUAGUGCUGAACAAUCUUCAUGCAGGCUCUGCUGUGGCAGGGUUGAUUGGUUCUCAGUGGACUUGUCUUGCUAAUAAGAGGAAAGAGGCUCUUGCUGAUAUUUCUACUCCCAUCCAGAACAUGACACCUCUAGACAACUAAUUGUAUUGCAUUCGAACUUUCUCCUUGAUGUAGCAAAACAAAUGUCCUUACUUUCACAUUAAAUAAUCACCUUUUCUUCAUAUGUGCCAAUGCUUCCACAGCUUACCAAACAAGAAGCCUGAGCCUUGGUGACUGAGAUGGGUCAUCUUCCUUUUUCUCAAUGAAACCUCAAUGUCAGGAAGAUGGGAAUGCCUUUAACCUGGGCCAGGUUGGGAAGCUGUGUUGGGUCCCAUCAUUUUUCCCUUCCAGACUGCCUGUACAUUUUCCUGGAGCUAGCAAGUAUUUACAUGAUGAGACUGGAUUGCUGUCUCCUAAAAAAUGGAGUGCUGAAUGCACUCAGUGUCAUCAUUAUUUAAACUUCAGCAGUGCUCUGGUACAGGGCAUGAUUGUGAACUGUAGGAAUGUAGGAACUGUAGGAAAGCUUUUCUGCAGCAGCUAAAGCUCUGCACCUGGGAGUGAAUGAAAAAGUAGCAGUGCAGAGACUGUGUUUAUGUGCAGUUCCUUGCAGUUUUACUGCCAGUGGCUGUUUAUUGAACUCUAAAUACAAAUGUAACUGCUAUCUGUCAGCAGUGUUAGCUGAAAUGGCAAGACAGUGCAGGUUGAGCAUUGCCAGGUAAUGCUAGGCUCUCGUUAAGAUUUAAAUCAUUAAAGCUAUAGUUUCACCUGUGUUUGAUAAACUGAGAUCUAUUAAAGAAAAAUAAACUUUUCUUAGCUUGACUGCACAUUAGAUAGUAGCAAAAACAAAAGCCCCAUCCAAUCUCUAUUUAGAUUAUUGCCGUUAUGAGGUGGUGGUAUCUAUUAGCUUCUUUUGGGGUUGGCAUAUAAAAAUUAACUGAUGUGUAUAUCACCUCUGAAAUUAUACAGGAAGAAAGAGUUUAAGGAACAAGCAGACCACUUUCAUGUAUUCUGGAGACUUGGAGAAUCUUUGAAGAAUGAGAGUUUGUGUUACACGAGCUUAUCUGUGCCUUAGACAUAACCAAAAUGUUCUUCUACCAGUGUUGAAUUUGCUGACAAAUGCUGUUUUGGUUAGUCUAAAGAUCCAUCCUUAUUCUUUAUUUCACGUUUCCUUCAUUCACAGCUUAUGGGUUGUUUAAAAUAAUGUAUUAUAUAGUAUUAUAUAGUUCUGGAGGAUAAUUGGACUGACAUAUGUAACUGAUGGUAUGAGUUGGUGUGCUUCUCCAAUGUGACAGCCAAGUGAAUGACCAGCUUUUCUAAGACUGCAUUAUAUCAAUAUGUUUGUAACUUUUAAUGAAUGAAAUAAAACAUGAC